GAUGAACGCUGGCGGUCUGCUUAACACAUGCAAGUCGAACGCAACCUUCGGGUUGAGUGGCGGACGGGUGAGCAACGCGUGAGAAUCUGCCUUGGGGUCGGGGACAACCACUGGAAACGGUGGCUAAUACCGGAUACGCCUUCGGGUAAAAGAUUUAUUGCCCUAAGAGGAGCUUGCGUCUGAUUAGCUAGUUGGUGAGGUAAGAGCUCACCAAGGCAGCGAUCAGUAGCUGGUCUGAGAGGACGAUCAGCCACACUGGGACUGAGACACGGCCCAGACUCCUACGGGAGGCAGCAGUGGGGAAUUUUCCGCAAUGGGCGAAAGCCUGACGGAGCAAGACCGCGUGAGGGAGGAAGGCUCUUGGGUUGUAAACCUCUUUUCUCAGGGAAGAAGCUCUGACGGUACCUGAGGAAUCAGCCUCGGCUAACUCCGUGCCAGCAGCCGCGGUAAUACGGAGGAGGCAAGCGUUAUCCGGAAUUAUUGGGCGUAAAGCGUCCGCAGGUGGCAAUUCAAGUCUGCUGUCAAAGCACGGGGCUUAACUCCGUAAAGGCAGUGGAAACUGAAUAGCUAGAGUGCCGUAGGGGUAGAGGGAAUUCCCGGUGUAGCGGUGAAAUGCGUAGAGAUCGGGAAGAACAUCGGUGGCGAAAGCGCUCUACUGGACGGCAACUGACACUCAGGGACGAAAGCUAGGGGAGCGAAUGGGAUUAGAUACCCCAGUAGUCCUAGCUGUAAACGAUGGAUACUAGGUGUAGCUUGUAUCGACCCGAGCUGUGCCGAAGCUAACGCGUUAAGUAUCCCGCCUGGGGAGUACGCACGCAAGUGUGAAACUCAAAGGAAUUGACGGGGGCCCGCACAAGCGGUGGAGUAUGUGGUUUAAUUCGAUGCAACGCGAAGAACCUUACCAGGGCUUGACAUGUCCGGAAUCCCGGUGAAAGCUGG
rnacentral:rRNA from 1 species